UACGUAGGGGGCUAGCGUUGUCCGGAAUCAUUGGGCGUAAAGCGCGUGUAGGCGGUUCGGUAAGUCCGCUGUGAAAGUCGGGGGCUCAACCCUCGAAUGCCGGUGGAUACUGUCGGACUAGAGUACGGAAGAGGCGAGUGGAAUUCCUGGUGUAGCGGUGAAAUGCGCAGAUAUCAGGAGGAACACCUAUUGCGAAGGCAGCUCGCUGGGACGUAACUGACGCUGAGACGCGAAAGUGUGGGGAUCAAACAGG
rnacentral:rRNA from 1 species